CCACGGAAGUUCGCGCCAUUUGCAGAGGGGAGGAGCCCAGCCUCUUGCGUUCCUGUGUGAUGGGGCCGGAGCCAGUAAACAGGCUUCCUUCUCGCUCUGCUGUAUAAGAAGAAGAAGUAGGAGAAACAAAAUAAGGAGGAGAAGAAGUAAAAUAAUUUGAGAAGGAAUAUGAAGGGGCUGAAAUCCUGGGCUUUCUGGGCAGAAGGAUCUACGAGCGGGAUCGUGGGUGAAACAUGAAGAUGAUGGUGGACAGGUGAGCUACGCAGUUCGUGGAAGAACCAGGGGUCACAUGGCCUAGAUGCUACCCUAGAUGAGAAAGAGUCCAAUGGUUAUCAACAAGUUCUGAAAGGCAAGGCCUAAGGUACUGAAAAUUAUAUUACUCAAAGCUGAAGGCAGCAAAUCUGUUCAUGUUUACACAGUUGGGAAAGUGGACUUGUGUUUUUUACAAGCAAACCAGUGACCAGCCAAUGGCAGGAGACCUUCCCCACCCCUAAAGGUGAUGCUCACCUACCGUCAUGGGUAAAAGGAAGCUCUGGCUCGAAUUCCUCAUGUAUUAUUCAUGUGUGAUGCCACCCAACGUGAUUCAGAGAAGAAAAUUCUCAGUGUGUUCACCAGAGGUGAUUACAUGAGAAUAAAGCACGGCCUGAUUUUUUUUCUUGUUCACAGGAAAAAAAAAA
rnacentral:lncRNA from 1 species